rnacentral:tRNA from 1 species
AGUCUCGUAGCUCAGCUGGUUAGAGCGCUACACUGAUAAUGUAGAGGUCGGCAGUUCGAGCCUGCCGAGACUACUA